rnacentral:rRNA from 1 species
GAUAAACGCUGGCGGCGUGCAUGAGACAUGCAAGUCGAACGGACUUCUCGGGCUUGCUCGAGAAGUUAGUGGCGGACGGCUGAGUAACGCGUAGGUGACCUGCCCCGAAGUGGGGAAUAACUGCCCGAAAGGGUGGCUAAUACCGCAUGUGAUCGUUCUUUCGUUAGAACGAUCAAAGCAGUAAUGCGCUUCGGGAGGGGCCUGCGUCCGAUUAGGUCGUUGGUGGGGUAACGGCUCACCAAGGCGACGAUCGGUAGGUGGUCUGAGAGGACGAUCACCCAGACUGGGACUGAGACACGGCCCAGACUCCUACGGGAGGCAGCAGUCGGGAAUUUUGCUCAAUGGACGAAAGUCUGAAGCAGCAACGCCGCGUGAGGGAUGAAGGCCUUCGGGUUGUAAACCUCUUUUAUCAGGGACGAUUAUGACGGUACCUGAUGAAUAAGCCACGGCUAACUACGUGCCAGCAGCCGCCGCCGUAA